UACGGGGGGGGCAAGCGUUGUUCGGAACUACUGGGCGUAAAGGGCUCGUAGGCGGCCAACUAAGUCAUACGUGAAAUCCCUCGGCUUAACCGGGGAACUGCGUCUGAUACUGGAUGGCUUGAGUUCGGGAGAGGGAUGCGGAAUUCCAGGUGUAGCGGUGAAAUGCGUAGAUAUCUGGAGGAACACCGGUGGCGAAGGCGGCAUCCUGGACCGAUACUGACGCUGAGGAGCGAAAGCCAGGGGAGCAAACGGG
rnacentral:rRNA from 1 species